rnacentral:rRNA from 1 species
CCUACGGGAGGCAGCAGUGGGGAAUUUUGGACAAUGGGGGCAACCCUGAUCCAGCAAUGCCGCGUGAGUGAAGAAGGCCCUCGGGUUGUAAAGCUCUUUUGUCAGGGAAGAAACGGUGGUCGCUAAUAUCGGCUGCUAAUGACGGUACCUGAAGAAUAAGCACCGGCUAACUACGUGCCAGCAGCCGCGGUAAU